rnacentral:rRNA from 1 species
GACGAACGCUGGCGGCGUGCUUAACACAUGCAAGUCGAGCGGUAAGGCCUUUCGGGGUACACGAGCGGCGAACGGGUGAGUAACACGUGGGUGAUCUGCCCUGCACUUCGGGAUAAGCCUGGGAAACUGGGUCUAAUACCGGAUAUGACCUCCUAUCGCAUGGCGGGUGGUGGAAAGAUUUAUCGGUGCAGGAUGGGCCCGCGGCCUAUCAGCUUGUUGGUGGGGUAAUGGCCUACCAAGGCGACGACGGGUAGCCGACCUGAGAGGGUGACCGGCCACACUGGGACUGAGACACGGCCCAGACUCCUACGGGAGGCAGCAGUGGGGAAUAUUGCACAAUGGGCGAAAGCCUGAUGCAGCGACGCCGCGUGAGGGAUGACGGCCUUCGGGUUGUAAACCUCUUUCAGCUGGGACGAAGCGCAAGUGACGGUACCUGCAGAAGAAGCACCGGCUAACUACGUG